rnacentral:lncRNA from 10 species
GUUCCUUCAAGAGCAAGUGAAAGCUAGUGAAGAGGAAACAAACAGUACAGUUUAAAUCCCAUUAUAGAGGUAUUGAGAGGAUGCGUUGGGAGCAGGCAAGAAGAAUUACCAUGGGAAAAUCUGAGAAACAUUUUUAAGGGGAUGAAGAAUAGGAAAUUAUCGUAAGACACACUGGGAGAGAUACUGCUCAUGUCAAUUGGAAGAGCAACAUAAAAACAUGAAGAUGGCAACAAGGAUUCAAGCUUUGGGGUAUGAAAACAGUGUUCAAAUAAAGCUGCUAGAGGUGCUUUCAAACACUGCCAAAAACGAAGAUGACAUGAUGAUAAUCUAAUAGACUUGGAGCCAGCAUCUGACAGUGGUGUCUUUAAGAGUUGAUUGGGCUCCUUCCUCCUGAGUGGGUUUAAGUACCUAACAAAAGAGGCUUCAAGCAGUAUUCAGCUCUCUUGCCCUUCCGCUCUCUGCUAUGUGAAGACACAGUGUUCCUCCCCUCUCCCUUCUGGAAGACACAGCGACAAUGUGCCAUAUCGGAAGGAAGCAGAGAACAUCCCUCACCAAAUAAUCAAUCCUGCUGGUGCCUUAAUUAUGAACUUCUCAGCCUGCAGAACUCAUGAAGGCCAUCAUCGGAUGUGGGCUGAUUGAUCUUGGACUUCCAAGCCUCCAGAACUAGAACUACUCCACCAUCAUCUGAUGUGGUUCUGAUGGCUGUGUGUUUCUCAGCUUUAUCCUCAGCCUGUGGGUAAUUUAAAAUAAAUACUUUUGCAAGUGAACCAAUAGAAAUAUUUCACUGUCAUUGGGCAGAAAGCUAAAAACCUAAUUACGUUGGAAGUAGGAAGAGGAAGUAAGUAUGGUUGGAAGAGGUGGAGUCUGGUGCUGCCAGAGCAGAAAGCACAAAGAAGAACGUGCUUUUAGGUGGGUGCCCUAAGAGACAUGAUAAGUGAAAAAGGACAUGUUUCACAGCGUGAUCUAUAUGUAACCCUUUUAAAGGAAACCGGUCUUCUCAAGUCUCUUCAGAAGCUAAAAGGAUAUUUAUAAAAGAAAUGAUGAUAUACCUCAAACCAUGGGUAUGGAACCGGAAAUAGCAAUUUGACCACAGAAGUUUUUUCACAACUCAUAUACUACUACCCAAUGAUCUAGGAUCCAUGUGGCCUCACAAAAUAUAUGAGAAUAGCCACUCAUAGUGUCAAUCUUUAGAACCUGAAUGAAAAGAAAAAAAAAAUAUGGUGAGAAGAGGAAAUGACAGAGGAGCACACAAUGGUGAUGGUGGUGAGGACAGAGAUGUGGUAGCUGCAAUCUAUUAAUGGUAAAUCACUAAAAGAAGACCCUAAAACUCCUAAAAUGCUUAAAUGACCUUGAGUUUGGAUCCAUUUCCUUGAGGGCCAGUCCUAUUACUGAUCAUCUACUUAGAUAUCUAUGAAAGCCCACUACUGAAACCACUCCAUAUGUAUUCUUUUUUUUUUUUUUUUUUUUUUUGAGACGGAGUCUUGCUCUGUCGCCCAGGCUGGAGUGCAGUGGCGCAAUCUCGGCUCACUGCAAGCUCCGCCUCCCGGGUUCAAGCUAUUCUCCUGCCUCAGCCUCCUGAGUAGCUGGGACUAUGGGCGCC